CCUACGACAGGCUGCAGUGAGGAAUUUUGUUCAAUGGGCGCGAGCCUGAACCAGCCAAGUAGCUUGAAGGAUGACUGCCCUACGGUUUUUCAACUUCUUUUAUAAAGGAAUAAAGUGAGGCCCGUGUGCCUUUUUGUAUGUACUUUAUGAAUAAGGAUCGGCUAACUCCGUGCCAGCAGCCGCGGUAAUACGGAGGAUCCGAUCGUUAUCCGGAUUUAUUGGGUUUAAAGUGAGCGUAGAUGGGUUGUUAAGUCAGUUGUGAAAGUUUGCGGCUCAACCGUAAAAUUGCAAUUGAUACUGGCAGCCUUGAGUACAGUUGAGGUAGGCGGAAUUCGUGGUGUAGCGGUGAAAUGCUUAGAUAUCACGAAGAACUCCGAUUGCGAAGGCAGCUUACUAAACUGCCACUGACAUUGAUGCUCGAAAGUGUGGGUAUCAAACAGGAUUAGAUACCCCUGUAGUC
rnacentral:rRNA from 1 species